rnacentral:tRNA from 1 species
GGGGGUGUAAGUUAAAUUUAAACUGUGUGGUUCAUGUUCACACAAUAUGAUAUUUCGUUUCCCCCU